AUUGAACGCUGGCGGCAGGCCUAACACAUGCAAGUCGAACGAGUGGCGGACGGGUGAGUAAUGUCUGGGAAACUGCCUGAUGGAGGGGGAUAACUACUGGAAACGGUAGCUAAUACCGCAUACCAUCGGAUGUGCCCAGAUGGGAUUAGCUAGUGGGUGGGGUAAAGGCUCACCUAGGCGACGAUCCCUAGCUGGUCUGAGAGGAUGACCAGCCACACUGGACCUGGGACCGGGUCCAGACCCCACGGGAAGGCAGCAGUGGGGAAUUUUGCACAUGGGGCGAAAGCCUGAUGCAGCCAUGCCGCGUGUAUGAGAAGGGCCUUGGGGUUGUAAAGUACUUUCAGCGGGGAGGCGUUACCCGAAGAAGAAGCACCGGCUAACUCCGUGCCAGCAGCCGCGGUAAUAC
rnacentral:rRNA from 1 species